AGUUUGAUCAUGGCUCAGGACGAACGUUGGCGGCGUGGAUUAGGCAUGCAAGUCGAACGAAGACAGUUGGGUAGCAAUAUUCGACUGGACUGAGUGGCGAAAGGGGCAGUAAUGCAUGGGCAACCUUCCUCGGGGAUGGGCAUAGCCGUUCUAACGGACGGGUAAUUCCCAGCGAUUUGGCGAAGAGGCAUCUCUUUGCCAAGAAAUGGAUUCCGCCUCGCGAGGGGCUCAUGUCGUAUUAGCUAGUUGGCGGGGUAACGGCCCACCAAGGCGAAGAUGCGUAGCGGGUGUGAGAGCACGACCCGCGCCACUGGCACUGAGACACUGGCCAGACACCUACGGGUGGCUGCAGUCGAGGAUCUUCGGCAAUGGGCGCAAGCCUGACCGAGCGACGCCGCGUGUGCGAUGAAGGCCUUCGGGUUGUAAAGCACUGUCGAGGGGGAUAAAAGCGCAAGCUUGAUAGAUCCCUGGAGGAAGCACGGGCUAAGUUCGUGCCAGCAGCCGCGGUAAGACGAACCGUGCGAACGUUGUUCGGAAUCACUGGGCUUAAAGGGCGCGUAGGCGGCUUACCAAGUCAGGGGUGAAAUCCUGCAGCUUAACUGUAGAAGUGCCUUUGAUACUGGCGAGCUUGAGGG
rnacentral:rRNA from 1 species